GCUUGACUCUUACUAGUUUGCACCCAGACAGCUCCUCCAGCAGAGUCAUCAGUAUUCUGCCGUCCUGAAUGUCUGUGAACAGGUCGUGCACUUCAACUGGAGGAUCACGCUGGAAAUAACAAAUCGUAAAACCUUAUAGAAACGCAUUCAUCCACCUGGUGAAGGUUCUCCUCUGCACUGCCUUCCUCUCAUCUGGGGAAGAGAAAACAGGGACUUGGCACAGAAAAUCCUGCAGUUUUCCAACUGAACACUGUUUCAAAAUGUGUCGAACAUGAUAAGCAGGAAGAGUCUGACAGUACAUGGGGAAAUGGCACAUAUGUGUUAGCCCCAAAAGACUGCGGAAGAUGAAGAUAUUUGAGAUGAGCAACUUUGUAUAAUGUAUUUUACAUACAACACACAUCCCAAUAGAGUAUUUUAGAAGCAACUCAUUAACAAGUGAAGACAUUGUGUAUGAUUGGGCAAUCAGAUGUCAUAAUGCCAAAGACACCUACUGGGAAAAUGACUAUAAUUCCAUUUCCAUUUUAUUUAUAUAGCGCCAAUUCAUAACAGAAGUUAUCUCAUUGCACUUUUCCUAUAGAGCAGGUCUGGACCGUACUCUUUAUAAUAUGAUUUACAGAGACCCAACAAAUCCCACCAUUAAUAAGGAAAUUCAUUUAAGGGAGGAAAAGACAAACAAAUGUUGUCUUGCAAAGUGUUCUCUUUUCAAAAGUACAGUAGUUGUUCUUGUAUAUACAGUGAUUUAACAUAUUAUUAUCACACAGUGGGUGAGUAUUAACCAUCAGCAUAAGACAGUAUUUCUUGUCACAGUACCUUGAGUCAUGUUGAUCACUGAUGUCUCCCACUGAUUUCUUUUGUGAAUCCCACUUAGCCUUGUCCUGCAUUCUCAUUUAACUUCACACUUCCGCUUAUGAUCCAUUGUGGAGAUAAUACGGGGGAACAGUUCAAAAUGUCAGGCACUUGUAGCAAUUAGAGGUGCUCUGAGGUUUCCUAACAGAAUAAGGAUGAAGAAAAGGCAAAGCGAAGCAGUGUGUCUUGCCUGGACACGCUGAAACCUCCCUCCCAGGUGUUGAUCAACUCUAGCUUCCACUCCCCUGAGACAACUCAACCUAGAUCCUAUUGGCAGGCUGCGAUUCAUGAAAUUCUUUCUGCGGAGGCAAUCGCAUAAAGUCCUUAACCGUUAAAAUGAAGAAAUCAGCUGGGAUCACUGUGUUAGGUUACAGGUUGUACAGUUUUACUGCAGAGGCCUGUAAUAAAUCUUUCUGACUCUCAUAACAGUGAUUCACUGACAGAAGCAUGUUCAGCUCAGACGUGACUGAAUAGUCUGACUUUCACAACAGAUAUGAGCAGAUGCAGCCAAGGCUUUUACUGAGGUCAUUUUAAAGCCUUUGCACAUAAAAAAACCCCAAUAUGUGUUAUCAACAGCUGACGUCGCCAUCUUAUAUCAGGCCUUUACAGGCAUGUUAUGCCUUUUUAGAUAGCGACAGCAGAGAAAUGACAGGAAAUGAGGGGAGAGUAAGACGGGGUAUAACAUGAAACAAAGGCGAACCAGGGACGUUGCAGUUCAUCGUCAGCGCCUUAAGCAGGCAUUCAGACCCAAAACAGUCUUGUGUUAAAACAGCUCAGGGGGCUGUGUUGGUGGGGGCGUGA